GUGAUAACUAAUGCAAAAUGAAGAUUAUUUAUUUUUCCAUUUUUUAGUAAUGGUUAUCUUAAUUGUUAUUGGUACAAAUGUACUCAGUUAAGUGUACUUGCUUUGAAAGAUAUUUAAGAUGACUUGUUAUCUCAAAUGCCAGGGGCAUUUGACUGUAGUUUUUCCCCGAGGGGGUGGGAGCUUUUCUCUGUAUUCUACAGGAUCAAAGUCUAAUCCCCCACCCUUCCCUGGUGGUUUCAAUUGACUAGUGCAUUAAUUUUUUUGAUAAGGUUCUUUUGAAAAGCCAGCUUAUC